CUUCUUCUUCUCCUCCUCCUCCUCUUCCUCGCGGGCCCGCGCCCCUGCCCGCCGGGGUCCCCCUUGCCGCCGCUGGGGCCGCGGCCCGCGCCGCCGAGCCGAGCUGCGCUGCCGCCGCGCUGCCGGGGCGGCCGCUGCCCGCGGGCCCGGCUGCCUGGGCGGCGGAACGUGCCGGUAGCGAGGGACGGAGCCGCGCGGGGGAGGGGAGGGGGGAAAAGAGGGGCAGCCUCGAUCUGGGCCGGCCGGCCGCGCCCGCUGAUUGGCCGCGGCGCCCGAGGCCGGCGGCGAAUAGGAAGCAGGGAGGCAGAGGGAGGGAGCAGCGCGGCGGCGUGACGCGAGCGCUGACGGCCGCCGCGCGGGGGCGGGGCGCCGGCCUUUCGAGGAGGUUCGGCCGCUUCCCUCAGGCGCGGCGGCGGCGGCCAUUUUGGGUGGCGGGUGCGGACCGGGUCGGGAGGGGCGGCAGCCGCGGCGGGGCCGUACCGUGCCUGACCGCCCUCCUUCCCUCCUUCCGCCGCCGCGCUCACCCAGCUGAAAUUCAGCAACGGGAUCAUCCUUCGUCCCGCUCGACUUCGUAUUCGCCGACCCCCAGGCUUUGGCGCCAAGGCGGCUGCUUUUGGAAAGAGGAAGAAGUAGUGCGCAGGAAACGGCUGCAGGCACCUUGGCAGCCUCCUGAGAGACCCGGCCUCUCAUUGCCGACACUCUUUCCUUGGGGCUGGAAGCAGGUGCCAAUGUGAGAGCUCUACAUGGUGUGGGAAGCUCCCUUUCACAGGAGAUACGCAGAAG
rnacentral:lncRNA from 1 species